rnacentral:lncRNA from 1 species
UUGUAUCUUUUUAACAAUAAGAACUAUUUUGAUUUGUAGAUCUAGUUAAAAACACAAAUGUGUAACUAUAAUUAGACUUUUGGGCAACAUUUUAUCCCUUAUUUAAAUAAAAAAAAUUUUUAAAGGAAAAUUGAAGUCUAGAAUAGGAUAGAAAAUAAAAGUAACAAUUAAGGUAAAUAAAGGUGUCUGUCUUAGUUUUAUAUAUUAAAAUAUAUUAAAUAAAUUUAUUGGCAUUUUCUUUUUCCUAAAACUUACCUAGUGUGAACUUAACUUAAAAUAAAGGUAAAAUGCUGCCUGAAAAUAAUGUCCAAGCAUCUUCGACUAGGAUAACAUUUUCACUACUUGUGUGACACUGUGUGUUGCAUGGAGUAGGAUUUGGGUACACAGUAAAUGCUUCUAAACGGCAUUGUGCAUAUUAGCAUAUCCAAUAAUCUGAACCAUGUUCAGCAAACUUAAUUCAGGAAAGUGAUGUUCUACAGUUACUGCUGUUGUGUUUGAGUGAGCGUGGCACACAUCUGUUCCCGGAGUGCUGCAGGUGGUGCCACCCCAGCCCUCCCGAGUGCUGUGUCUGAGAGUGACACAGCCGACCUGUGAAACUGUCCUUGAUUCUCUCAGUCAUAAUCUAAAGGACAAGUUGAAAUGUGGAGGCUAAGUGAAUGCCAAGAACAGGGUUGCAAAUGUGGGGUUCCUCAUACCCAGGCUGCCCAGCCACAUUGUGAGGCCAGGCUAGGAAGUCAGUUAAUGAACAUGUCACUUUUGCUUCAUAUUAGCACUGUGAUUGUUUGGAAAUGGGCACACUUGACUAAAAUGGUUUAAGCGAGACCUUAGGUAAAAAGGAUAUGACUUAAAAUUUGGCCUUCUUACAUUUUUAGCUGAAGUUGCCCUCUUUUUCAUCUCUGCCAGUGUGUGUCAUGGAGUGGGUAGCUCUGACCCACCCACUCCUACAUUUCUCAGUGCCAUUGGCUGUGUGCUAAGAAAAGGUUUUCUUAUGACAAGAGGACAGUCUGUCUGUCCCCUUUGAUAAAGCACCAAUGCUGCUUUCAGACGUUAAGAAUAAGGUGAUUGGCAAAUUUUAGCUACAUCAGUUUCUCAAAAAACAAAACAAAACAAAAACCUCAGGUAAUAAGUAAAAGGAGUCCAUUAUCAAAUUUGUAGCUGAUCAUAAACCUUAAUUUUAGCUAGAAUAUUUCUUCCCAAUCUCUAAUUUCUAUUUAAGAGACUAGCUAAAAUAAAUAAAUAACCUGAAAUGGUGUGCUAAUGAAUAGUAAAAGUCAGAAUUGGUCAGCUGAUUAAAAAGGACUCAGACUGGAAUAUUCUGCCCCUGAAUAAUAGACAGUCAACUGUACUUUAUGCAGUAAUAGCAGUUUGUUGUCCCUGUGUCUUAGUCCAGAGGGAAUAGUACCUAACUGGCCAAAAUGGCCCUCAGAAUUUCCUCUUUUCUUGCAUGUAAUAUAGACAUUUCUUGUUAUCCUAAUGGGAGUUUGUCACUGACCUAAACAGUGAAAGUAAUGGUCGCCAGUAAAAUAUUUGACACUGGUGACAACUUGAAUUUUUGAUUUCAUGAAAAUACAUUUAUGAAAAUAUGUAAUUACCUAAAGAGGGUGUUUUAUAUAUACACGUUUGUUAUGAAGUAUUAAAAAAUAGGGGGUUGUCUUUCAAUGGAUAACAUUUUCCUGAUUGAACGGUGUCUUUGAGUUGUGAAUGACCAAGUCUAGGGUCUAUUUGACCAAUGAUAAGAUUCAGAACCUCUUACAUGGAAAGAAACACUUGGUUUUAUUCUUGGUAUUUUUAAAGAUUAUUUUGAUAAUUUUAAUAGAAUGUGUAAUUUUUAAAUACACAAAAGUAGUAUUGAUUAUACAAAUGAUUAUUUAACAUGUCUUUUAUGGAUGUAUCUAUAUGUAUAUAGACAGUAAUAUAUUUAU